rnacentral:rRNA from 1 species
UUAUUAAAAACACAGAAAUGUGCAAACACGAAAGUGGACGUAUACGGUGUG